AGUGAACGCUGGCGGUAGGCCUAACACAUGCAAGUCGAACGGCAGCACAGUAAGAGCUUGCUCUUACGGGUGGCGAGUGGCGGACGGGUGAGGAAUACAUCGGAAUCUACUUUUUCGUGGGGGAUAACGUAGGGAAACUUACGCUAAUACCGCAUACGACCUACGGGUGAAAGCAGGGGAUCUUCGGACCUUGCGCGAUUGUAUGAGCCGAUGUCGGAUUAGCUAGUUGGCGGGGUAAAGGCCCACCAAGGCGACGAUCCGUAGCUGGUCUGAGAGGAUGAUCAGCCACACUGGAACUGAGACACGGUCCAGACUCCUACGGGAGGCAGCAGUGGGGAAUAUUGGACAAUGGGCGAAAGCCUGAUCCAGCCAUACCGCGUGGGGGAAGAAGGCCUUCGGGUUGUAAAGCCCUUUUGUUGGGAAAGAAAAGCAGCAGGUUAAUACCCCGCUGUUCUGACGGUACCCAAAGAAUAAGCACCGGCUAACUUCGUG
rnacentral:rRNA from 1 species